ACUGCUGGUGCCAGUGCUGUUAAUUUCUCUGGUUUUUAGGUAUCUCUCAGACCAGGACCUCUGUCCUGUACUCAUCAACCCGUGAGACAUAACGUGAAGCCAGGACACAGCUGUGUGCUUCCUGCCUCACUCACUAGUUCAUCACCCUCUACUUCACCUUGUACGCCAAAAUCUCCUCAUGUAUGGCAGGCCCACUUCCAAAAUUGCUCUCAAAACUGUACCUGCUUAGCAGAUGUUAAACAUGAAAUGAAAGUGUAUGUAUUAUACCUAAAUACUAUAAUGCACCAUGGGUAUAAGCACCGUGUGGCAAAUAACUGGUCCCACAAACCCUUCUGCAGAUAACUAAAGCCAUCAAAGGCAGCUGAGUUUGUUUGAUUGAGGAUUACACGUAAUUAGUGGUCUGCAAGGUUAAGAGUACGACCUGCGUCACUAAUGAGUGCUCAUGUAUUAAUGCUGCUUUGAGCAGGGGGUUCAGCUAGGUGACCUCUUAGGUCUGCUCCAGCGAGAAGUUUAUGAUGAUCACACUUGUGUUGUGUAAAGAGAUACUUCACUUACAAAACAACAUAGCAAUUACAUAAGCUAACCCUUGGCAAAUCAUUGCGAUUAAUUUUACUUAUUGCAUCACGGCAUAGCAUGGAGAUGCAAAUUUGGCCCAAGUUUAAGGUUUAAAACAGAAAAAGGAAUACACCCAUGCCUUUUUGCAUAUCACAUCCAAUUCCUGGCAUACAGUUUUAGAUUAAACUGAAUUCCUUGUAUUCCUAGUGUACAGUUGACUCGGUUGUGGUUCUGGAACUAAUCCAGAGUAUGUAGUGCCUGAAAACAUGAUGCUUGAUGUGCAGUUGAGCUGUGUGAAGGGACUUGAGCUUACUUUGACUAGUUCAGGUGUGGCUAGCACUGAGGCUGUUGUAACAAAGCCAUCAGUGCAGGUGAGCAGCCUGAGUAACAAAGACUUGAGGCCUAAAAACUAAAAAACCUAAUAACUUUGCAAGGCAAGGACUCAGAAUGUGAGAGGAAAUUCCUAUAUGUAAAAACAAGCGAACAAAACUGUGUGAGAUUAUACUGUGUAGAUCCUGAAUAGAUGUAGAUGUUGCCGUGACUGGUUGAGUUUAAUAAGCAGUACAUGUCAAGUGAAUUUUCCAAUGAAUUUUCCAUUAUUUAAGAAAUGGUAUUUUGCUUAACACGAGUGUGAACCUUCUUGUUAAGAUAUAUGGGGAAUUUGUAUGGAUUUCCUUCCUGUGUUUGGAUAAAAUUCAUACCUGUUGAUACCUCUUUAACGGUUUCCACUUAGUAUUGCUGAUUACUGACUUUUAAGCCAAAAGCUGGUGAUGAGGGAGGGAACCUCCAAACUACUGGUUGUAAAAGGCCAAUCGCUUUCACACACAGGUGACCAGAACUGGGUUUAUGCAAUGUUUUAACCCUUCCAAAUAGGUGAUACAGCCCCUGUAACAGAAUGGGGUUGUUGUGCUGUCUGAUUGCAGUGUAUUUCAGGGAAAUACUUGGUUGCUUGUAUGCUUUUACUAAAAAAUAAAAGGUUGACAGUGCUAUAGCUGUAGUAAGUAAUGUGUUAAGGACUUGACAAGUCCGGACUUUUCGGGACUGUAGAAAGCAAUUAAAAGGAAUAAAAGGUUCUUGGAAGGAGCCAAGGGAUUCCUUUAUGUUAUUCUUCAUCACAAGGAAUGUUGUGGCCAUUCUGUUCUUUUCAGACAAUGUCAAUGGGACAUUAUCUGAUUAUCGGAUUAGAGACCCAAAAGCUUGAAUGCUCGGAUAAAGUGCUCAAGACCCCCAAAGUCAUGAGGACUGGAUGCAACUCAGCCAUUCAGUGGUGCUAAAGGAUGAAGUGGCUGACCUGCUAAGAAGACUGUAUCUCGUUAGGAUGAGAUGCUGUGCCAGGAGACCAGGAACUGUCAGCUGUUGUAGGUACUUCACCUUUACACUGAGAAUGAGGAAUGGAUCUGGAAUUUGCAGACCAACGACUCGUAUUUUAAUGCCAAGCCAAUGAAUUUGAGUGCGACAUGGAUAGUCAAGUAGUUCUUUUGUUUUCUUCAGACGACCUCUAAAUUUCCAAUAAUGGCAAUACAUUCAUUCUGCCAUUUGGAGGAGCCUGUGCCACAGAAUAAUGAUGUGAAGAAAUCGAACUUAUUUGCAAGGAAGAGUCUUCAUUUGUGAACGAGGACCCAUGCAGCAAAGAGGUGCUUUGUUAAGUUCAGCAGAACUAUUACUGCUCCUAACACAGUGUCCUGUACGUGGACAAAGUUGGUUUUUCUUCAAAAAAUAAGCAGAAUGCUGUAUCUGGAGAGUAAAAAGAUCAGUAUCUUGCCUCGCUUCUCUGAUGUGCAAAUGAAGCUCGUCCAAUAUGUGUUACCCAAGAAAGAAUUAAGAAAAUUGAAGUCAGAAUAUCUGAACUUGAAUCACUUGCAAACAAGGAAGAUCUGCAUGCACGUGUUCUCUAAAGAUAAUGUUGAACAGAUCCAGAAUCCGUUUUGGUAGCUGCAGGUUGCUUGUCUGAAAUCCCUUCAUAAGCUCGAGUGCAAAGCAAGUACAGUACUAGUGAUGGAUGUGAAUGGAUGUCUUAAGGAUAACAGUGGAUAUGGCAUCUUCAGAAACGGUGGCAUUAUGAAGGUGUAUUUAUGUUGAUUUGUCUGGCUACAUGCUGAUCUCAGAAGACACAACUCUGUGAUAGGGGGAAGAGCAGUAUCGUAGUCCUGGACAACAGCAAGAAUGACAGCCCUGAUGAAUUGGCAGGUCAGACUGAAGACUGUUACAUCCUGCUGAGAUGACACAGGAAAGUCACAGGUAGAGGGAAAGCAUGGGGCCCUUCCCUUUUCCCCUGUAGGCUGGAUGAUGCAUGCUGUUGCUGAAUUGAGGGCAUCGUGAUACUCCAGAGUGUAGCCCGUGGUUCUGUGCUCAUGUUCCAUUGUAAAACUCUGUAGUGUCCUCCCUGCUGCUGUUAUACAUUCCUGUUAUAUCAAAGCCUGUGUUUCAGUGCGGGAAAACCUUACAAAGUAGAGAUUUUUCUGAAACACCACCUUUUCUCUUUGGCAAUUGUAUAUUAUACAAGAUACAUGCUACUGUAGGCUAUUAUUAGUAUGGUAGGGAGAAACAUCAGCAUAAGAAGUGACUUCAUCUAACGCACUGCCAAGCUAGAACUUCUCACAACCUUCAGAUGGGCACAAGAGAGCGUUUUUGUAGCAGUAAUAUUAUUUUCUGUCAGUUUUACAGAGUUUUAAAAUACGGUAAGAUUACCUCAUUUUCGUUUUUGCCACCACAUUACUAAGAGACUAAAAAUCUACACGUCUAGAAAUGAGGUGUUGGUGAUUAAGAUAAAAAUAUCCCCUUUAUUGGUUUUAGGCCACUCUCAUUUCUUUAAAAUAACAAAACAAAUCAUGUAUAAAUACGAAGAAACAGCAGUAUGCAGGAGGUGAGCAAAUGCACACUGCAGGUACUCGUGUCUGCCUGAGGGGGAAUCUACCGUGAUCAGUUAAUGCUGUAUAAACCUCUUUAUGCACAAUGUCAUUGUAGCCUUUUCCGUAGCUGCAGCAUGUUGUGGUAAAAAUGUAAAUCUCUUAAUAGUCUAGACACUCAGAUUAUUUUUCUGGGGCUAGUUUGGUGUCUCUUUACUUGUGGGCUGUGCUACCUGGUUCGUCCCUGUUCUGCUUAUACUUUUAUUUAUAUGUUCUUAGUUCUGCCACUGGGUUUGUCCAAAUGCACCUUGCCAGCUGUGGGUCUGACUGAGUUAAUGGGACUCUGAAUGACUGGAAGUUUGUACUCGGAAGAUCUGACUGUAGGCCUGAACCAGAAUUUUUACUUUAUUCCCCUAUUUGCUUCUAAUUCAUGAAAAAUGUCCUCUAAAGUGUCUAUGAGACCUAAUGUACAUCUGCCUUAGUACCAUUCAUAUCCUAUGUUCUCUGGGUAUUGUCAGACACGGUUAAAGUAUUUCUGUUGUGUCAUGUGUCAAAAACUCUGGAUGGAUGUGAUCACUGUGUUAUAUUUUUACAUUUAAUGGCUUCCUACCUGAAAGAGGAGGGAGAAUCCUCUGUGUUUUCAGUACUUGUGGUAUUUCUCUUAGCUCAGAUUCUGAAGCCAGAGUAACUACUUGAACUGUAUUCAGGUAAUUUGUAAAGGUGUUAGUAGAUUUGUUUUUUAUUCUUUGGGCACAAAGUACAUUUAUUUUGCACCAUGCUAUUUUCGUGGUAGCCUAUUAUUCCUAAAAGCUUUCAAUAUGAUGAUACACUGUGAUGCAGACCAAUAAAAUAAGCAGGAAAAGGCAAUAACUUUUA